CAGUCGCCGCGGGAAUACGAAGGGUGCAAGCGUUACUCGGAAUUACUGGGCGUAAAGCGUGCGUAGGUGGUGGUUUAAGUCCGUUGUGAAAGCCCUGGGCUCAACCUGAAUUGCAGUGGAUACUGGAUCACUAGAGUGUGGUAGAGGAUAGUGGAAUUUCCGGUGUAGCAGUGAAAUGCGUAGAGAUCGGGAGGAACAUCAGUGGCGAAGGCGGCCAUCUGGGACAACACUGACGCUGAGGCACGAAAGCGUGGGGAGCAAACAGGAUUAGAGACCCGAGUAGUCCCUGUCUCUUAUACAC
rnacentral:rRNA from 1 species